rnacentral:tRNA from 1 species
UUUGGUCUUUGGUAGCCAAAGRAYGAAGAUUCACCCUUCCUAGAGUU